AUGGCUUUUCACAGUUAUCAAUCUUAUCUUCUAGGUUUUUCAUGCAUUGCUUUGGUGUUGGUUUCAGGAUUGGUUACUAGUUUGGAGACUCCAGCAACAGUUUUAGAUGAAACAUGUGCUCCGGGUUGGCCACUUUCAUUUUGUUGUUCUGCGGUUUGUUCUCCAAACUGCGAUCAAGACUGUCAUGAGUUUUGUUCCUUAAAGAAAAUGAAAAUAAGGCACGAAUGA